rnacentral:rRNA from 1 species
AACGACUGCUAAGACUGGAUAGGAAACAAAAAGGCAUCUUUUUGUUUUUAAAAGACCUUCUUACGAAGGUAUGCUUAAAGAGGGGCUUGCGCCACAUUAGUUAGUUGGUAGAGUAAAAGCCUACCAAGACGAUGAUGUGUAGCUGGACUGAGAGGUUGAACAGCCACAUUGGGACUGAGACACGGCCCAAACUCCUACGGGAGGCAGCAGUAGGGAAUUUUCGGCAAUGGAGGAAACUCUGACCGAGCAACGCCGCGUGAACGAUGAAGUAUUUCGGUAUGUAAAGUUCUUUUAUUGAAGAAGAAAAAGUAGUGGAAAAACUAUAUUGACGUUAUUCAAUGAAUAAGCCCCGGCUAACUAUGUGCCAGCAGCCGCGGUAAGACAUAGGGGGCGAGCGUUAUCCGGAAUUAUUGGGCGUAAAGGGUGCGUAGGCUGUUAGAUAAGUCUAUAAUUUAAUUUCAGUGCUUAACGCUGUCUUGUUAUAGAAACUGUCUUGACUAGAGUGAGAUAGAGGCAAGCGGAAUUCCAUGUGUAGCGGUAAAAUGUGUAAAUAUAUGGAGGAACACCAGAAGCGUAGGCGGCUUGCUGGGUCUUUACUGACGCUGAGGCACGAAAGCGUGGGUAGCAAACAGGAUUAGAUACCCUGGUAGUCCACGCCGUAAACGAUGAGUACUAAGUGUCGGGGUAAAACUCGGUACUGAAGUUAACACAUUAAGUACUCCGCCUGAGUAGUACGUACGCAAGUAUGAAACUUAAAGGAAUUGACGGGACUCCGCACAAGCGGUGGAUCAUGUUGUUUAAUUCGAAGAUACACGAAAAAUCUUACCAGGUCUUGACAUACUCUGCAAAGCUAUAGAAAUAUAGUGGAGGUUAUCAGGGAUACAGGUGGUGCAUGGUUGUCGUCAGUUCGUGUCGUGGGAUGUUAGGUUAAGUCCUAAAACGAACGCAACCCUUGUCGUUAAUUGCCAGCACAUAAUGGUGGGGACUUUAACGAGACUGCCAAUUAAACAUUGGAGGAAGGUGAGGAUUACGUCAAAUCAUCAUGCCCCUUAUGAUCUGGGCUACAAACGUGAUACAAUGGCUGUGACAAAGAGUAGCUGAAACGCGAGUUUUUAGCCAAUCUCAAAAAAGCAGUCUCAGUUCGGAUUGAAGUCCGUAACUCGACUUCAUGAAGUUGGAAUCGCUAGUAAUCGCGAAUCAGCAUGUCGCGGUGAAUACGUUCGCGGGGUUUGUACACACCGCCCGUCAA